rnacentral:rRNA from 1 species
GACGAACGCUGGCGGCGUGCUUAACACAUGCAAGUCGAACGGAAGGGCGAUGAUUUUGUGGGGUGCUCGAUUGGCGAACGGGUGAGUAACACGCGAGUAACCUGCCCUUGACUUUGGGGUAACAUCAGGAAACAGGGGCUAAUACAGGAGAGGAGCUCCUGCUGCAUGGUGGGGGUUGGAAAGUUUCGGCGGUGGGGGAUGGACUCGCGGGUUAUCAGCUUGAUGGUGGGGUAGGGGCUUACCAAGGCUUUGACGGGUAGGCGGCCUGAGAGGGUGACCGGCCACAUUGGGACUGAGAGACGGCCCAGACUCCUACGGGAGGCAGCAGUGGGGAAUAUUGCACAGUGGGCGGAAGCCUGAGGCAGCAACGCCGCGUGCGUGAUGACGGCUUUCGGGUUGUAAACCGCUUUCGACUGUGACGAAGCGUGAGUGACGGUAAUGGGUAAAGAAGCACCGGCUAACUACGUG